rnacentral:lncRNA from 1 species
AAGGCUCUGGCGCCUCCGCCUUGUUCUGUGGAGUCAUCACGCCUGGGGCGGGGCCAGCAGGUAAAAAGCUCGAUGGCACUCAGGCUGCCACUCAGCGAGGAGGCCCCAGGCCCGAGAGGAGGACCCAGGGUCCCCCCAGCCGCCGAGGGUCCCCAGCUGAAGCCCGGCUAUUACAGAGUGGAGACACGCCAUCUCCAUGUGCUGCAUCCAGAGUCCCAGAGCCAAGGACGCCCAUCAUGUCUGUCCCUCGGAGUCUGGGUGGUUUGUUCCACGUAAGAGCGGCUGCAUCAGGCAGGGUCGAGAGGAUGGACCCACAGGCUCAGGUGGAAGAGCCCGGUGUGCUGAGGCCUCACCGAGUCUUAGCUCCCUGCUCGUCCUCCUCCUGUGCUGUCUGAGCUCCCAGGGACUCCUGGCCCUCGAGACGAUAAACAUUCAUGAAAAGUCGGGGCCAAGCUUAUCCUGGCUCAGCUGGAUGGGCUCUGGGCACCUGAAAGGCUGGCUUCUCUAGAACAGGCGUGGCGACACUGGGUUCUCAGCGGUAUUUGGCGAACGAAUGGAGGAGGCUUGGGAGGAAUGAUGACCUGCUCACUGGAAACACCCAGUAGGCAGACACUGGACCUUGGUCAUCUCUGUGACCCCAGGGGCCCUGCGCGUAGUAGGGGUUCAAGUGGCUCCAGUCUAUGACUUGGUCAUAAAUCACAGUCAUUCCUCUUAAAGAGUUUUGAACUUUUCCCCUUUUCUUGGAUUUUUUUUUUUUUUUCCGUAAAGGAUAACGUGGUAAGAAUACAAGCCAACCCUGGACUAUCUGUUUAAUCUUCGUUCCCCUAAAUAUUAGCUCAGUGGGAAAAGGAGUCUAACCUCUCUGUGUAUUUUUCUCUGUAUAUAUUUUUGGCCCGAAGGCUGGAAAAAGCAGGACUAAAGCAAGAUGCUUAGGGAUUCUGAAAAAGAUGGGGAGAAACCGCCUGCCAGAGGGAGGAAGAGGGGUGUCGGGAGGGUGAGAACAGAUGUGACACAUCUCUUCUCGAGAGGCUCUGUCCAAGGGUUUGCCUGUCUUACGUGUGAGCAGUUCUCAAUGACAAGCCACUUGCACCUCAGUGACCCCCGAGGGGAGGACAGUUUCCAUCUGGGCGGCUGCUUGGACCGUCCCUAACCCGGCUGGGGGCGCCCCUCCCAGAGCCCAGAACAUGCCUACAGGCCCUGUGUUCUGGAUCCCGCUCCACCGAACGCACGGGGCUGGACUGCGCUGGUGGUUGUACGGCUUGUCUGUGUAUUAACGGCCACUGCCUUAGACAUGUCCACUGGGUGGAUCUUAUGGCAUGAGAGUUACACGUCACUAAAGCUUUUAAAGACAUAAAAUAUGCUCACUGGAAAAAUCGCAUGGACACCUGCCUCUGUGCGAGUGUGGAUAACACAUACGCACGCAUCGGUAUAUGUUGCAUUUCUACGCAUCUGUGCACGCCUGUAUAUACAGAUACACACAACCGUGUAUGUUACAUGUACAUAUCUCCGUAGAUACAUGUCUCUAGACGCACUUACAUACACGCGUACAUGUAUGUACACAGCUGUACCCGCACGUACAGUUUAACAUAUAAAGAAGAGUGGCCCUUUCUGACGAGCCCCACCCUGAGGAGCAGGAGCCCCCACCACGGGCCUGGCUCUGCUCCUGAUGUGCAGAGGGCCCCUGACAGGCAGUCACGUUCUCUGGACCACGUCCGUCAGUUUCCCCGUUUUCUCUCUCAAAUCAUCUCUCAGCAGCCAGAGUGACCCUUUCAAAACAUCAGUCCUCCCAGCAAAACCCUCCACUGGUUUCCCACGUCUGUCAGAGCAGGAGCCACGGCUUUCACGAUGGUCUUUACAAGCCCUGGCAAGGCCCCGGAGGGAACCGCCCGAUGGAAUUUUCUGCAGUGAUGGAAGGUUCUAGGGCAGCCCCUGGGCACACGUAGCUAUUGGGCACUUGAAAUGCAUCAAUUUACAGUCCGGUUUUCCUUGGACACCGCUGCCCUUCUGUGUGAGUGAGUUCCUGGGAUGGAGAACCUUCCAGCCCACCCUGUGCCCCACCCGCCUGGGAAGCCUCCGUGAGUGGGAAGCUGCGGGUUUGGAUUCCCACAAACGCACAGUAAAGUCCCCAGGGAACCAUCCCCGGGGGCGCGUUUCCUGGGCUGGAGCUCAGUCAUCUUCCCCUCUUGACAAAAACUGACCCUGUGAAACUCUCCGUGAACCUGAAUGCUCCCAAAAUAUAGAUGCAUCCUGGACUCCAUCCCCUCUAGAAAUUCUCUUUUGCUUUUCCUUUGCUCUGGAGCCCUGUGCCCACGUAACACUACCCAGAUCUCCCGAAAUCUGGGGCCGGCUGUUUGUUUCCCGGCUGAUGGAGUCCUCGAUCCCAAGCUCUCACGGCAGCUCCACCAACAGUUUGUCAGUGCAGGGCCACUCUGCUCGCCGGAGCCCGAGCCACGCUUCAGUCUUGGGGCCAAACUCAAUCUGUAAAUGGUAAGAGGCAUUUAGAGUUCUCUCCUGCCCAGCUGACAGUGGGUUUACAGUUUAUAAUCUGGCCUUUGUAAAAGCAUUUGUCAGCCUGGAUGUUUCAUCCUAAGCCCGACCACCCAUGCGGAGGGACAGGCAGGAAGUGACCCUUUAUUUGCACCAACAGUCAUCUUGGAGGUUGGCUGCAGAAUCACAGAAUUCAGUCGCAAAGGGGGACUUUUUUGGCAUUAUCUACUCCGCAUCUCAGCGGCGCGAGCAGCCCUUGUUUAUACGAAGCGAUUCCUGAAUGCUAAAUUUGGAAAUUCUACGUAUUUCUCUAAUCCGCCAGGCCCCAGGCAGGACAGCGGGGCCUCCUCUGAAAAGCUUCUCCACUUCCCCGGCCUUCCUGGGUCUUCAGCUGAACCUCCCAGCGCGACCGGGACGGCCUCAGGCCCCGAGGACCAGGCCGCCGGGGGCCACGCCAGCGCCACCCCGAGCACUUCUCCAUCAGCCCGGGAGGCGCUCCGAGGCCGGCAGCGGUUUUAUUUCUAAGUGUCUGUGUGCACAAGUAUACAAAACGGCUCCCUCCGGGCCGGCCCAGCCUCAUCCUUGGCAGAACCUCAGGGCUCCGGUCCACAGGAGUGGACGGGACGAGGCGGGGAGUCUGGGCAAAGAGAGCCUGGAUUGAUAAGGAAUCGCAGUAGCCGAGCUGGCAUGAUAGCGGCGAAGGAAUGCAAUAUACUAAGGAACACUCAGGUUUUAUCUCUGUUGCUUGAAGACGUUUGCAAGGGAGGAAAUAACACCAUUUCGGGCAACAGAUAAAGGAGAUGGGGCCGCGAUGGUUCCUUUGCUGAGCAGGCUUUCCUCCCCCGCCGCACGCGCCCCAGCCCCCAGCCCCCAGCCCCCAGCCCUACCUGGGUGGAAAGUUGGAAUUUGGCCUUGGGCCUGCCUCCUGCCGCUGCAGCAUCUUAUCACGGGCCAGCCACCCCCCACCUCCCUGGGCGCCAGCCUCUCUUUCAGCCCCUCCCCCCCCACCGCCUCCCCUCCUGCUGCGGGGCCCCCCCACACACCGUAGUUACGCCUCUAGUGGUUUGAACUCCACACCUUAUCACCAUCAGACUCCCAAGGGCAAGCUGGCCGAUGGGCACACAGAUGCAUAAAACUAUGUUCACGUCUCUCCCGGCGCUGGGGCUCCUUUCUUGCCACCUCCAGCUGGGCACAUCCCAGGGACCUACCCAGGGACAGAAGGAGGAACCCACUCGUGUGGACUGUGUACCAGCGGCUGGCUCAUGUGGGGUCACUUUUCCUGUCGGGGGGGGGUGGGUAAGUGGCUGAGCUGGGGGGUAACCCCCUCAAACACCAGUAGGGGAGGGAGGGAGGGAGACGGAAGGGAAGGCGCCUGCAGGACGUCGUGUCCAGCCAGCUACUUAGUGUCAGGCCACCAGAGCAUGGCCCCUCCAGGGAGCUGCAGGGAAGCGUGUGGACAUGCACCCCAAUUACCCACCCAGAGGGGACAGUGAGCUGGGGAGUCACGUGCUAACUCCCUCUCUCCCAUCAUCGUGGGACGAGGACAGUCCCCACGCGCCCACUUUCCUUCCCCGAUGCUGCUGGCCUUUGUGUGCCUGGGCAGAGCCCGCUAUUAGAGCUGGACAGAGACCUCAGGCACAGGGGCAUGGGGGCAGGCAGUUAAGAGCCCCACUGGCAAAAAAUGGCAAGAGUGUGGGAUAUGGAUGGGCACUCACCCAGAGGGGGCAGCCAUGGAGCCCACCCCCAGGCUGUCUUACAUGCUUCACCAUCACCCCACACCUAGGACAGCUGAAGCCGGCUUGUGUGGCACGGAGCCUUCUCCCAAGCCAGGCUUGGUUCUGCUGGUACCUUAUCAGAUCCAAUAAUUGCCCACAACAGCUUUGUGGUUACUUGUCAGGAACCAUAUUAUAUUUGCAUAGAUUUUUCAUUUGUCGCAUUGUAGCUACUCCAGAGCUUCAUGUUACCCUUUAAGUGGCCGUAACCAAAUUCUGUUACAACUGUCUAAACUAUAACCAGAUUCCACAGCCGCUGAUGCCAAAACGUAUUUUCUCCUCUAUCAAUAAAAUGAAGUCUCUAAAAUCCAGAGUUCCAGUAGUGGCGCAGCAGAAACGAAUCCACCUUGUAUCCAUGAGGAUGCGGGUUCCAUCCCUGGCUUCGCUCUGUGGGUCAGGGGUCUGGGGUUGCCAUGAGCUGUGGGGUAGCUUGCAGAUGCAGCUUGGAUCUGGCGUUGGUGUGGCUGUGGUGUAGUCCAGCAGCUGCAGCUCUGGUUCGACCCCUAGCCUGGGAACCUCCAUAUGCCGUGGGAGCAGCCCUAAAAGCAAAGCAAAAAAAAAGACUCUAAUAUCUAGGAGAGCUGUGGAGACCCCUUUUUGGGCUGAGCCCUCACUUGGGCAGAUGUGUAUGGAGUAGCUCCUGCUCUGCCAAUGCUAAUGACCUAAUGCCGCGGCUUCUCUAAGGACAGACAACCAACCUCGAAUACAGGUGAAAUCUGUGAGCGUCACCACCACCAACAGUCCACAUCUGGGGACGAAGGUGCAUAGAGAGGGUGGGUAGAAAGGCGGUCCAAACUCCGCUAUCGAGUGGACUAGGACGGCGUCACACUACUAUUUGUUUUUAUAGACAUUUAUACAUUAUUUUACAUUUGAAGAGACACAGCAUAUUCCUCUUAACCUGAGGACCAGUUUGGAUCCCUGAUUUUGUUGACUGUCCCUCAGAGCUGGCAGGUGAUCUCGAGAGAGCGAUGUAGCGGUUUUUUGAAUUUUUCAUUUAACGGCAGCUAUUCCCAUGUAGUCUCAGGUAGAACUCUGAUAGGUGAAACAGGUAAACCUGAAGCUGUUUUGAUAGAACGUGGGCAAAGUGUUCUAAUUGGAACCUCUGUUUCCCAUCUGCUUGCUCAUGCAUCUCCAUGCAACCCCAAG